UGGCAGACGGCUGAGUAACGCGUGGGUGACCUACCGAGGGGUGGGGAAUAACUGCCCGAAAGGGUAGCUAAUACCGCAUACGCUCCUUCUGAGAGGGAGGAGGAAAGUCGCAAGACGCCUUUCGAGGGGCCCGCGUCCGAUUAGCUGGUUGGUGGGGUAACGGCCUACCAAGGCGACGAUCGGUAGCUGGUCUCAGAGGAUGAUCAGCCAGACUGGGACUGAGAGACGGCCCAG
rnacentral:rRNA from 1 species